rnacentral:lncRNA from 1 species
UUUGGUGCACUGCGGGAUUGCAGCUACCAGUUAAAAUUAGCAAGGCAAAAUGUAGAUCUUAUGGCAAUGACUAAUAAUUUUAAAGAAGAAGUCAUGAAAGAAUUUAAAGAGAAUUUUUUAUCUCCUUUGUGUAAGCAAGUGGAAACAGACCUUCGCUUAAGCAUACACAGACAUUUACAACUUGAUGACAGAAACCCGUUUAAGAAUGGUUUGCGAGAUCUUACACAAUUUUUUCAAAUGCGCCCAUUACGCUUUUUUGAUGAAAUUAUAGAU